AGAGGCGCCGGGACAGCCUCGAGGGGCCCUGGAAUUGGCUCGUGUUCCACCGGCCAGUGCCGCCCCUGAUCCAGAACGGGCCCCACCGCCCGUUUGGCCUCGCUGGCCCAGGAGCUGUUCCCGUGCCGGGCUGAGCUGCUCCAGGGGGGGCUGGGGGGGCCCAACCGGGGCCGGGUCCUG